rnacentral:rRNA from 1 species
GAUGAACGCUGGCGGCGUGCCUAAUACAUGCAAGUCGAGCGAACAGACGAGGAGCUUGCUCCUCUGACGUUAGCGGCGGACGGGUGAGUAACACGUGGAUAACCUACCUAUAAGACUGGGAUAACUUCGGGAAACCGGAGCUAAUACCGGAUAAUAUAUUGAACCGCAUGGUUCAAUAGUGAAAGACGGUUUUGCUGUCACUUAUAGAUGGAUCCGCGCCGCAUUAGCUAGUUGGUAAGGUAACGGCUUACCAAGGCAACGAUGCGUAGCCGACCUGAGAGGGUGAUCGGCCACACUGGAACUGAGACACGGUCCAGACUCCGACGGGAGGCAGCAGUAGGGAAUCUUCCGCAAUGGGCGAAAGCUUGACGGAGCAACGCCGCGUGAGUGAUGAAGGUCUGCGGAUCGUAAAACGCUGUUAUUAGGGAAGAACAAAUGUGUAAGUAACGAUGCACGUCUUGACGGUACCUAAGCAGAAAGCCACGGCUAACUACGU